UACGUAGGAUGCAAGCGUUGUCCGGAAUUAUUGGGCGUAAAGGGCUCGUAGGUCGGUCUGUUGCGUUCGGGAGUGAAAACUUACAGCUUAACUGUGAGCGUGCUUCCGAUACGGGCAGACUUGAGGUAUUCAGGGGAGAACGGAAUUCCUGGUGUAGCGGUGAAUGACGCAGAUAUACAGGAGGAACACCGGUGGCGAAGGCGGUUCUCUGGGAAUAUCCUGACGCUGAGGAGCGAAAGUGUGGGGAGCGAACAGG
rnacentral:rRNA from 1 species